CCUACGGGUGGCAGCAGUGAGGAAUAUUGGUCAAUGGACGAGAGUCUGAACCAGCCAAGUAGCGUGAAGGAUGACUGCCCUAUGGGUUGUAAACUUCUUUUAUAUGGGAAUAAAAUGUUCCACGUGUGGGAUUUUGUAUGUACCAUAUGAAUAAGGAUCGGCUAACUCCGUGCCAGCAGCCGCGGUAAUACGGAGGAUCCGAGCGUUAGCCGGAUUUAUUGGGUUUAAAGGGAGCGUAGGUGGAUUGUUAAGUCAGUUGUGAAAGUGUGCGGCUCAACCGUAAAAUUGCAGUUGAAACUGGCAGUCUUGAGUACAGUAGAGGUGGGCGGAAUUCGUGGUGUAGCGGUGAAAUGCUUAGAUAUCACGAAGAACUCCGAUUGCGAAGGCAGUUCACUGGACUGCAACUGACACUGAGGCUCGAAAGUGUGGGUAUCAAACAGGAUUAGAUACCCGUGUAGUC
rnacentral:rRNA from 1 species